UACGGAGGGUGCGAGCGUUGUCCGGAAUCACUGGGCGUAAAGGGCGCGUAGGUGGCGCGGGAAGUCAACGGUGAAAGUUCGGGGCUCAACCCUGAAUCGGCCGUCGAUACUCCCGGGCUCGAGCACUGUAGAGGCAGAUGGAAUUCCGGGUGUAGCGGUGGAAUGCGUAGAGAUCCGGAAGAACACCGGUGGCGAAGGCGGUCUGCUGGGCAGUUGCUGACACUGAGGCGCGACAGCGUGGGGAUCAAACAGG
rnacentral:rRNA from 1 species